rnacentral:tRNA from 1 species
CACUAGGAAGCUAAUCCAGGGUAACAGCAUUGGCCUUUUAAGCCAAAGAUUGGUGCCUCCCAACCACCUCUAGUGA